rnacentral:rRNA from 1 species
UUAACUUACACUAACCAGCGCCAGGGAAUUACGAGCAAUGCUUAAAACCCAAAGGAUUUGACGGUGUCCCACCCCACUAGAGGAGCCUGUUCUAUAAUCGAUGAUCCCCGCUACACCCGACCAUUCCUCGCUUAUCAGUCUGUAUACCUCCGUCGAAAGCUUACCAUGUGAACGCCCGCAGUAAGCUUAAUGACCUAACCGUCAACACGUCAGGUCAAGGUGCAGCUUAAGGAAUGGGAAGUGAUGGGCUACAAUUUCUAACUUAGAACAAACGAAAGACUAUGUGAAAUCCUAGUCAUGAAGGUGGAUUUAGUAGUAAAAAGAAAGUAGAGUGUUCUUUUUAACCCGGCUCUGGGACGCGUACACACCGCCCGUCACCCUCUUCGAUAGUAUUUUUAUUCUGUCCCUAACCCCACACCACGUCUUAGAAGAGGCAAGUCGUAACAUGGUAAGUGUACUGGAAAGUGCACUUGGUAUACUA